UACGUAGGGACCGAGCGUUGUCCGGAAUCAUUGGGCGUAAAGAGCGUGUAGGCGGCCCCUUAAGUCCUGCGUGAAAUCCUGCGGCUCAACCGCAGACGGUCGUGGGAAACUGGAGGGCUAGAGCGCGGGAGAGGAGAGUGGAAUUCCCGGUGUAGCGGUGAAAUGCGCAGAUAUCGGGAAGAACACCCGUGGCGAAGGCGGCUCUCUGGAACGCAACUGACGCUGAGACGCGAAAGCGUGGGGAGCAAACAGG
rnacentral:rRNA from 1 species